GAUUUUCCUUUGUUAUAGUACUAAAGGAGAUGAUUAGCAAUAUCUAGAGUUCUGAAAAUGAAUAUUUAAAUAGUUUCAGGAAUAAAAAGUACAAAAGAAGACUGGUUAAAAUGUGUUGCUACAAAGAAAAGGACACAGAAAGACAGCCAAGAGAAAGAUAAUGUUAAUUCAAGACUCUCAAAGAGAAGCUUCAGUGCAGAUGGAUUUGAGAUGCUACAAAACCCAGUAAAAGAUUCAAAAGAAAUGUUUCAAACCUACAAACAGAUGUACCUGGAGAAGAGAAGCAGAAGCCUUGGUAGCAGUCCUGUAAAAUAAUUACAAGAUGUGGUUUUGUAAUUGCCACUGGGAAAUUUCUUUCCUUUUCUGUUCAAAAUAUUUCGCUGAAACUAAUGAGAAAUGCCAUGAUAAAGAUUUCUCAGAGUUUGGUUCCCACUUUCAUUAUGUUUCAUUGAAAGUGCUUAAGAACUUUGGGUAGCCAUGUGUAAGAAAUGGAUGAUGUUCACCGGGGAAACAUAAGGUAUUUGAAUUUCUGCUUUAUUGAACCAGGUUUGCUAUUAUUUUAAAUGGAGUGCUUAUACAAAUCAAUUUGAAAUUCUACCCAUCUUGAGGGAGGACUGUUCCUCAGUUAAGGACUUGUUUAUUUAAAUGGGACUGUAAAUAUGUUUUGGUUUCUAAGCUAUAUUAGCAAAAUUUAUUUUUCAAAAAUGCCCACUGUGAUGUGAAUGUCAAAAUAUAUUCUUAAGUGUUUUAUAACUAAUUGUAAACUUUUUUUCAGAAGUCUUAUUUUAUACUUGUGAAACUGAACAUAAUUUUGGGACAACGUUUAAACAUUACUUUUCAUACUUGAAAUAAACAUUUAUUUUUUAAAAAA
rnacentral:sRNA from 1 species